rnacentral:rRNA from 1 species
UACGGAGGGUGCAAGCGUUAUCCGGAUUCACUGGGUUUAAAGGGUGCGUAGGCGGACAGGUAAGUCAGUGGUGAAAUCUCCGAGCUUAACUCGGAAACUGCCGUUGAUACUAUCUAUCUUGAAUAUCAUGGAGGUAAGCAGAAUAUGUCAUGUAGCGGUGAAAUGCUUAGAUAUGACAUAGAAUACCGAUAGCGAAGGCAGCUUACUACAUGUUAAUUGACGCUGAGGCACGAAAGCGUGGGGAGCAAACAGG